UUGCACGCUGGCGGCAGGCCUAACCCCUGCAAGUCGAACGGUAACAGAAAGCAGCUUGCUGCUUUGCUGACGAGUGGCGGACGGGUGAGUAAUGUCUGGGAAACUGCCUGAUGGAGGGGGAUAACUACUGGAAACGGUAGCUAAUACCGCAUAACGUCGCAAGACCAAAGAGGGGGACCUUCGGGCCUCUUGCCAUCGGAUGUGCCCAGAUGGGAUUAGCUAGUAGGUGGGGUAACGGCUCACCUAGGCGACGAUCCCUAGCUGGUCUGAGAGGAUGACCAGCCACACUGGAACUGAGACACGGUCCAGACUCCUACGGGAGGCAGCAGUGGGGAAUAUUGCACAAUGGGCGCAAGCCUGAUGCAGCCAUGCCGCGUGUAUGAAGAAGGCCUUCGGGUCGUAAAGUACUUUCAGCGGGGAGGAAGAGAGUAAAGUUAAUACCUUUGCUCAUUGACGUUACCCGCAGAAGAAGCACCGGCUAACUCCGUG
rnacentral:rRNA from 1 species